ensembl:lncRNA
CUCUGUGGGGCUCUAUGGGGUCUUUAUGGGGUCCCAUGGGGUCUUAUGGGGGCUUUAUGGGGUUCUAUGGGGCUCUAUGGGGGUCCUAUGGGGUCUUUAUGGGGUCCUAUGGGGCUCUAUGGGGUCCUAUAGGGUCCUUAUGGGGUCCCUAUGGGGUUCUAUGGGGUCCUUAUGAGGCUCUGUGGGGCUCUAUGGGGUCUUUAUGGGGUCCCAUGGGGUCUUAUGGGGGUUUUAUGGGGUCCUAUGGGGGCUUAAAGGGGUCCUAUGGGGUCUUUA